GUGUCAGCCGCCGCGGUAAUACGGGGGGGGCAAGCGUUGUUCGGAAUUACUGGGCGUAAAGGGCUCGUAGGCGGCCAACUAAGUCGGAUGUGAAAUCCCCAGGCUUAACCUGGGAACUGCAUCCGAUACUGGAUGGCUUGAAUCCGGGAGAGGGAUGCAGAAUUCCAGGUGUAGCGGUGAAAUGCGUAGAUAUCUGGAGGAAUACCGGUGGCGAAGGCGGCAUCCUGGACCGGCAUUGACGCUGAUGAGCGAAAGCUAGGGGAGCAAACGGGAUUAGAUACCCCUGUAGUCC
rnacentral:rRNA from 1 species